AGAGUUUGAUCCUGGCUCAGGAUGAACGCUGGCGGCGUGCCUAAUACAUGCAAGUCGAGCGGUAAGGCCACUUCGGUGGUACACGAGCGGCGGACGGCUGAGUAACACGUAGGAACGUACCCCAAAGUGAGGGAUAAGCACCGGAAACGGUGUCUAAUACCGCAUGUGGUCUUCGGACUAAAGCUUCGGCGCUUUGGGAACGGCCUGCGCAUGAUUAGCUUGUUGGUGAGGUAAUGGCUCACCAAGGCGACGAUCAUUAGCUGGUCUGAGAGGAUGAUCAGCCAGACUGGGACUGAGACACGGCCCAGACUCCUACGGGAGGCAGCAGUAGGGAAUCUUCCACAAUGGGCGAAAGCCUGAUGGAGCAACGCCGCGUGCAGGAUGAAUGCCUUCGGGUUGUAAACUGCUUUUAUCUGUGACGAUUAUGACGGUAGCAGAUGAAUAAGGAUCGGCUAACUCCGUGCCAGCAGCCGCGGUAAUAC
rnacentral:rRNA from 1 species